rnacentral:rRNA from 1 species
AGCGAACGCUGGCGGCAGGCCUAACACAUGCAAGUCGAACGAAGUCUUCGGACUUAGUGGCGGACGGGUGAGUAACACGUGGGAACGUGCCUUUAGGUUCGGAAUAACUCAGGGAAACUUGUGCUAAUACCGAAUGUGCCCUUCGGGGGAAAGAUUUAUCGCCUUUAGAGCGGCCCGCGUCUGAUUAGCUAGUUGGUGAGGUAAAGGCUCACCAAGGCUACGAUCAGUAGCUGGUCUGAGAGGAUGACCAGCCACAUUGGGACUGAGACACGGUCCAAACUCCUACGGGAGGCAGCAGUGGGGAAUCUUGCGCAAUGGGCGAAAGCCUGACGCAGCCAUGCCGCGUGGAUGAUGAAGGUCUUAGGAUUGUAAAAUCCUUUCACCGGUGAAGAUAAUGACUGUAGCCGGAAAAGAAGCCCCGGCUAACUUCGUGCCAGCAGCCGCCGUAAAAC